rnacentral:tRNA from 1 species
GGGCUUGUGGUGUAGCUUGGAUAUCACCGAGGCCUCCAAAGCCUCAGACCCGGGUUCGAAUCCCGGCAUGCCCG